UGGGGAAUUGUUCACAAUGGGCGCAAGCCUGAUGACGCAACGCCGCGUGGGGGAUGAAGGUCUUCGGAUCGUAAACCCCUGUCGAACGGGACGAAAGACUCGCGAGUUAAUACUGCGCGAGAGUGACGGUACCGUUAAAGGAAGCCACGGCUAACUCUGUG
rnacentral:rRNA from 1 species